UAGGGAAUCUUCCGCAAUGGGCGAAAGCCUGACGGAGCAACGCCGCGUGAGUGAAGAAGGAUUUCGGUUCGUAAAGCUCUAUUGUUAGGGAAGAAUGAUUGUGUAGUAACUAUACACAGUAGAGACGGUACCUAACCAGAAAGCCACGGCUAACUACGUGCCAGCAGCCGCGGUAAUACGUAGGUGGCAAGCGUUGUCCGGAAUUAUUGGGCGUAAAGCGCGCGCAGGUGGUUUAAUAAGUCUGAUGUGAAAGCCCACGGCUCAACCGUGGAGGGUCAUUGGAAACUGUUAAACUUGAGUGCAGGAGAGAAAAGUGGAAUUCCUAGUGUAGCGGUGAAAUGCGUAGAGAUUAGGAGGAACACCAGUGGCGAAGGCGGCUUUUUGGCCUGUAACUGACACUGAGGCGCGAAAGCGUGGGGAGCAAACAGGAUUAGAUACCCUGGUAGUCCACGCCGUAACGAUGAGUGCUAAGUGUUGGUCUCAUAAGAGAUCAGUGCUGCAGCUAACGCAUUAAGCACUCCGCCUGGGGAGUACGACCGCAAGGUU
rnacentral:rRNA from 1 species